GCCACACAGGCCCACACAAUGGCGGAUGCCACGUGCGUCUACAAUGGCGCAAAGUGGGGACCGACAUUCUGACAAGGUUGGACGCAAUCUUCUACGCCUUUUGGGCAAAACUGGCACACAGAGAGAGGCAGAUUAACAUACCAGCGACCUUAUCCAAAGAAAGACCCACUCGUGCCGGCCAGAGCUGCAUUGACCCCUUUUCGAAGGCAGUCACAAGAUGGCGCCGAAGAUGCAGAUCUCUCCUGCCUGCCCGCAAGUGAUUGAACCAAGCAGUGAUGACAACUCGCAGUGACUUGCAGGUUCCAACUAAACCUUGCAUGAAGCAGAGUCCUGCUAAGCAACCUCCGAGAGGCAGACUCCCAUCACAGCACGGAACCUGACAACACCACGGGGAGUUCCAGAGUCCAAGACAGGGGCACCAUCUACCUGCACCAUGACCACAGGUACCCAAAGCGAUAGGCGAACGGGCCCAACACCGGAAUUAAUACAGCUGGACUUUGCCCUGCCCCAGCAGGACUUACAUGCCUCCCUAAUGCCUUUUCCUAUGCUGUGCAUCGGCUGAAGGGGUACUCACAUCCCAGGCAACACGGAGGACACUGCCCGGAACCUCAGUCAAAACGGACUCAGGCUAGUCUCAUCUACAGCCUCCCAAGCCGAGACCGAUGUUCAACACUGAACUCUCAUGUUAUGCAAUGCUUAAAAGUUUAGUGAUCGUUGUUUAUAUUAAUAAUCGCUACACAAUAACGC